GGAGCCACGAUGUCUCCAAAGCUCUGGGGGUUUGCUGAUAACACCUGUGACUGCAAUGGCUGCCCAUGAGAAGAUCCUUUCUCUUCAGUGGCUACCACUGAGUGCCCCAGGGGCCAGCGGUGACCAGAUGGUUUUUGAUACAGUGUGAACUGGACGCACUGGAUGAAGAGCCCUGGCAGUUUCACAGCAUCGCUUGUUAACAGCCUAAAAGUGGUGCGCCUCCCCCUCACCCGCUCUUGAUGUCAAGGCAGACAUCUUCAUCCAGGGCCCUGAUCAAUGUCUCCAUGAUCCACCCAAGCUGUAAAGAAUAAAUCAACCAAAGAAAGGAUGGUGAUAUGACUUCGUGGGGAAGAACGCAAGCUCUGUAAGGAGAAGGACCUUAGUUGAGUCCCCAGAAGCCACACCAAAACUAAGCACAGUUACAUGUACACAAGAUCCCAGCACUGGCAGGUAGAGACACGUCACUCCUGACAGCUCGCUAGCCAGGUAACCGAGGUGAAAUAACAGGAUCCCAUCUCAGUGACAGACGUAUCCCAGAGCAAUAAGGAGAAACAAAGGAAAGUAUGUGACAUCCACCUUUGUCUUCAGCAUGUGCACCGGGGCCCACAUGGGAAAUGCGUACACACACAAAAGAUAUCCUUACAAAGUUAAUUCGUAACACCACCAUAAGUCAUGCUGGCAAAAACUAUGCAAGAGAAGCAGAAAAAGAGAGUCAAUAAAAUAUUAUGUCCAACUUAAA